ACCUGGCUGGCUCAGUCAGUAGAGUGUGUGACUCUUGAUCCCAGGGUUGUGGGUUCAAACCCCAUGUUGGGUG
rnacentral:tRNA from 1 species